AUGGACGAAAGUCUGAUGGAGCACGCCGCGUGAGUGAAGAAGGGUUUCGGCUCGUAAAACUCUGUUGUUAAAGAAGAACAUAUCUGAGAGUAACUGUUCAGGUAUUGACGGUAUUUAACCAGAAAGCCACGGCUAACUACGCGCCAGCAGCCGCGGUAAUACGUAGGUGGCAAGCGUUGUCCGGAUUUAUUGGGCGUAAAGCGAGCGCAGGCGGUUUUUUAAGUCUGAUGUGAAAGCCUUCGGCUUAACCGAAGAAGUGCAUCGGAAACUGGGAAACUUGAGUGCAGAAGAGGACAGUGGAACUCCAUGUGUAGCGGUGAAAUGCGUAGAUAUAUGGAAGAACACCAGUGGCGAAGGCGGCUGUCUGGUCUGUAACUGACGCUGAGGCUCGAAAGUAUGGGUAGCAAACAGGAUUAGAUACCCUGGUAGUCCAUACCGUAAACGAUGAAUGCUAAGUGUUGGAGGGUUUCCGCCCUUCAGUGCUGCAGCUAACGCAUUAAGCAUUCCGCCUGGGGAGUACGGCCGCAAGGCUGAAACUCAAAGGAAUUGACGGGGGCCCGCACAAGCGGUGGAGCAUGUGGUUUAAUUCGAAGCUACGCGAAGAACCUUACCAGGUCUUGACAUACUAUGCGAAUCUAAGAGAUA
rnacentral:rRNA from 2 species